rnacentral:tRNA from 1 species
GUCCUCGUGGCGCUGGCAUGCUCCUGCCUGUCACGCAGGAGGUUGCGGAUUCGAGCCCCGUCGCUCCCGCCG